ensembl:lncRNA AABR07069587.2
CCUAAAGAUAUGAAGAAGAGAAAGCCAGCACUAAAGCUCUCUUCAUACUCAGAAAAAAAAAAAGAAUUGUUUAGAAUUCCCAGCUUAUAGAAUUCCCAAGUUCCCGGAGGAGAGUGCAAUCUUAAAAUACUAAAACCAGUUCAUCUUGUCCUACGUGGAGAUGAUUCACUAGCAUAACCAUAAAGCUUGUAAAAGUAAUUGACUCAAAGACGGUUUCCGGAUUGGCAAAUAAUUCUUACAUCAUUGAAAAGUGGAGACCAUGAAGAAAUAAACACAGCCAUAUUGAAGAACUAAAGAGGUUCCAGUCCCCAGGUGUAGCCUCUGCAGAAGCUUUGGAACCUUCUAGUCCACUGGUUGAGUCAGUCUUUCAGGUAUCCACACCCAGCUUUCCAGCACCCUGAGGGAGAAAACCCCAUAUAGCCUCAGCUCCAGUAGGAGACAGGCCCUUCAACUGGCCAGACAUAACAUCUCUCCAAAGAACAGUGGCUUGUGUUGGAGGGGAGUAAGGCCAUCCUUGCCCAAAUUUAAAGAAAAUGUCUUUGUUUGGAAGAUCUAGUGACAGAUGCUGCUCACGCCCUUGAGAAUUCUUGGAAGUUAGGCUGUGAAGGCCGGUUCUACCUCUAUGUCUGCCUUGCUGCUUGGAGCCUGUAUCUGUUGUUUCCUGCACACCCUGGCUCUGACCUUCUGACCUCAGAGUUUUCAAGCCUUUCAACUGUGGGCUUCCAUAAAAUAAAAAAUAAAUCAAGUACUUUCUUACUUCAAGUGGGAAGAACCAGGGCACAGCCAUGAUCUGCGCAAAGCAAAAUCAGACUCCAACAGUACUUGUUAUUUUAAGAAGCCAAAAAUUCUACAUUUUUCUGCAAGAGCAAAAUAAAGUAGAAUUAGUUCUCUGUGUUAAUUGCUGCUGACUUCUUUGGAUACCGAAUGCAUUUAUGUUCAUUGAG